GUAGGUGGCAAGCGUUGUCCGGAAUUAUUGGGCGUAAAGCGCGCGCAGGUGGGUUCCUUAAGUCUGAUGUGAAAGCCCCCGGGCUCAACCGGGGAGGGUCAUUGGAAACUGGGGAACUUGAGUGCAGGAGAGGAAAGUGGAAUUCCACGUGUAGCGGUGAAAUGCGUAGAUAUGUGGAGGAACACCAGUGGCGAAGGCGACUUUCUGGCCUGUAACUGACACUGAGGCGCGAAAGCGUGGGGAGCAAACAGGAUUAGAUACCCUGGUAGUCCACGCCGUAAACGAUGAGUGCUAAGUGUUGGGGGGGUUUCCGCCCCUCAGUGCUGCAGCUAACGCAUUAAGCACUCCGCCUGGGGAGUACGGUCGCAAGACUG
rnacentral:rRNA from 1 species